GACGAACGCUGGCGGCGUGCCUAAUACAUGCAAGUAGAACGCUGAGGGAGGAGCUUGCCCUUCUGGAUGAGUUGCGCACGGGUGAGUAACGCGUAGGUAAACUGCCUGGUAGCGGGGGAUAUCUAUUGGAAACGCUAGCUAAUACCGCAUAAGAGUAGAUGUUGCAUGACAUUUACUUAAAAGGUGCAAUUGCAUCACUACCAGAUGGACCUGCGGUGUCUUAGCAAGUUGGUGGGGUGACGGCUUAACAAGGCGACGAUACAUAGCCGACCCGGGAGGGGGGAUGGCCAAACUGGGACUUGGACACGGCCCAGAAUCCUUCGGGAGGGAGCAGUAGGGGAUCUUCGGGAAUGGACGGAAGGCUGACCGGGCAACGCCGGGGGAGGGAAGAAGGGUUUCGGAUCGGAAAGCUCCGUUGUAAGGGAAGGACGAGUGUGGGAGUGAAAAGUGCACAUUGUGACGGUACCUAAUCAGAAAGCGACGGCUAACUACGUG
rnacentral:rRNA from 1 species